UACGGGGGGGGCAAGCGUUGUUCGGAAUUACUGGGCGUAAAGGGCGCGUAGGCGGUUUGCUAAGUUGAAUGUGAAAACUCUGGGCUUAACCCAGAGCCUGCAUUCAAUACUGGCAGGCUAGAGUUCUGGAGGGGAUAGCGGAAUUCCUGGUGUAGCGGUGAAAUGCGUAGAUAUCAGGAGGAACACCUGUGGCGAAAGCGGCUCACUGGACCACAACUGACGCUGAGGCGCGAAAGCUAGGGGAGCAAACAGG
rnacentral:rRNA from 1 species